rnacentral:rRNA from 1 species
AUUGAACGCUGGCGGCAGGCUUAACACAUGCAAGUCGAACGAGUGGCGGACGGGUGAGUAAUGCUUGGGAAUCUAGCUUAUGGAGGGGGAUAACUACGGGAACCUGUAGCUAAUACCGCGUACCAUAGGAUGAGCCCAAGGGGGAUUAGGUAGUUGGUGAGGUAAAGGCUCACCAAGCCGACGAUCUCUAGCUAGUCUGAGAUGAUGACAAGCCACACGGGGACUGAGAAACGGCCCAGACUCCUCCGGUAGGCAGCAGUGGGGAAUAUUGCACAAUGGGCGGAAGCGGAUGCAGCCAUGCCGCGUGUAUGAAGAAGGCCUUCGGGUUGUAAAGUUCUUUCGGUAGCGAGGCGUUAACUACAGAAGAAGCACCGGCUAACUCCGUGCCAGCCGCCGCGGUAAUAC